rnacentral:rRNA from 1 species
UACGAACUGUGCAAACGUUAUUCGGAAUCACUGGGCUUAAAGGGUGCGUAGGCGGCAGUGUAGGUCAGAUGUGAAAGCCCACGGCUCAACCGUGGAAUUGCGUUUGAAACCACACAGCUUGAGGGAGAUAGAGGAGAGCGGAACUGUUGGUGGAGCGGUGAAAUGCGUUGAUAUUAACAGGAACACCGGUGGCGAAAGCGGCUCUCUGGAUCUUUUCUGACGCUGAGGCACGAAAGCUAGGGGAGCGAACGGG